rnacentral:rRNA from 1 species
UGGCGGACGGGUGAGUAACGCGUGGGUAACCUGCCUUACACAGGGGGAUAACACCUGGAAACAGGUGCUAAUACCGCAUAAGCGCACAGGGCCGCAUGGCCCGGUGUGAAAAACUCCGGUGGUGUAAGAUGGACCCGCGUCUGAUUAGCUUGUUGGCGGGGUAGGGGCCCACCAAGGCGACGAUCAGUAGCUGGCCUGAGAGGGUGGACGGCCACAUUGGGACUGAGACACGGCCCAAACUCCUACGGAAGGCAGCAG